rnacentral:lncRNA from 1 species
AUGACAAUAAGGGCUUCAUGGGCUGUGGAGCUUGGAACGUCCAGGGAGGCCAAGGGCAGAGGAGACAAGACACACGCAAGGAGGAGAGGAGGAGGCGGUGUGUGUGUGUGUGUGUGUGUGUGUGUGUGUGUGUGUGUGUGUGUGUGUGUGUGUGUGUGUGUGUGUGUGUGUGUGUGUGUGUGUGUGUGUGUGCGUGUGUGUGUGUGUGUGUGUGCGUGUUUGUGCGUGUGUGUGUGGGUCUGUGUGUUUGCUCGAGUUGAGGAAGUUAAGUUACUACAGGUUAUUAGACCUCGUCUGUUAGUGUGUGGGUUCACCAGGUGUGUGUGGGUUCACCAGGUGUGUGCGGGUUCCCCAGGUGUGUCCUGGGUUCACCAGGUGUGUGUGGGUUCACCAGGUGUGUGCGGGUUCCCCAGGUGUGUCCUGGGUUCAACCAGGUGUGUCCUGGGUUCACCAGGUGUGUGUGGGUUCACCAGGUGUGUGUGGGUUCACCAGGUGUGUCCAGGGUUCACCAGGUGUGUGUGGGUUCACCAGGUGUGUGCGGGUUCCCCAGGUGUUUCCAGGGUUCACCAGGUGUAUCCUGGGUUCACCAGGUGUGUGUGUUCACCAGGUGUGUCCUGGGUUCCCCAUGUGUGUGUGGGUUCACUAGGUGUGUCCUGGGUUCCCCAGGUGUGUCCUGGGUUCACCAGGUGUGUGUGGGUUCACCAGGUGUGCAUGGGUUCACCAGGUGUGUGUGGGUUCCCCAGGUGUGUCCUGGGUUCACCAGGUGUGUGUGGGUUCUCCAGGUGUGUCCUGGAUUCACCAGGUGUGUGUGGGUUCCCCAGGUGUUUCCUGGGUUCACCAGUUGUGUGUGGGUUCACCAGGUGUGUCCUGGGUUCACUAGGUGUGUGUGUGUGGGUUCACCAGGUGUGUGUGGGUUCACCAGGUGUAUCCUGGGUUCACCAGGUGUGUGUGUUCACCAGGUGUGUGUGGGUUCACCAGUUGUGUGUGGGUUCACCAGGUGUAUCCUGGGUUCACCAGGUGUGUGUGAUCACCAGGUGUGUGUGGGUUCACCAGGUGUAUCCUGGGUUCACCAGGUGUGUGUGUUCACCAGGUGUGUGUGGGUGCACCAGGUGUGUGUGGGUUCACCAGGUGUAUCUUGGGUUCACCAGGUGUGUGUGUUCACCAGGUGUGUCCUGGGUUCACCAGGUGUGUCCUGGGUUCACCAGGUGUGUCCAGGGUUCACCAGGUGUGUGUGUGUGUUCACCAGGUGUGUCCUGGGUUCACCAGGUGUGUGUGGGUUCACCAGGUGUGUCCUGGGUUCACCAGGUGUGUCCUGGUUUCACCAGGUGUGUGUGUUCACCAGGUGUGUCCUGGGUUCACCAGGUGUGUCCAGGGUUCACCAGGUGUGUGUGA